AGUAAACCAGGGGAUGCUUCUUCAAGUAAGCUCGGAUCUUAUCUCAUCCAAUCCCAAUUUCAGUCUGCUGGGAACUCUAGUGGGCUUUUCCUGACUGCUGCAGCUCAAAAUUUGUUGUGUCUCAAAUUAGCAGAGGAACUUGGGGUUAUAAUUUCAAGCCCUUGGGUUUCUUGGUUCAAGGCUGCCAGUUUGCCAGCUUUUGUUUCUCUUCUAGCUACACCAUUUAUCUUAUACAACCUUUAUCCUCCUGAAACCAAGGACACUCCAGAUGCCCAGGCAAUGGCUGCAAAGAAACUGGAGAAUAUGGGUCCUGUCACAAAAAAUGAAUGGAUCAUGGUUGGCGCAAUGGUUCUUGCAGUUUCUAUGUGGGUGUUGGGAGAUACUCUUGGUAUACCAAGUGUUGUAGCUGCAAUGAUUGCCUUAUCAAUAUUACUUUUGUUAGGAGUGCUUGAUUGGGAUGACUGCUUAAGUGAAAAAUCAGCCUGGGAUACCUUGGCUUGGUUUGCUGUUCU
rnacentral:misc_RNA from 1 species